rnacentral:rRNA from 1 species
AGCUCCAAUAGCGUAUAUUAAAGUUGUUGCAGUUAAAAAGCUCGUAGUUGAAUUUCUAGUUAAUUGCUAUUCGGUCUCCAGAUCAGUAGUAGUUAGCUAUCCGACACUGAACUAUGACGGUUAUUAAGUUAACCCCAUAGCGAAUUGUCAUUUUACUUUGAAAAAAUUAGAGUGUUUCAGGCAGGCAAUUGCCCGGAUAUCUUAGCAUGGAAUAAUGGAAUAGGACUUUGGUUCAUUUGAUUGGUUAUUGAAUCAGAGUAAUGAUUAAUAGGGACAGUUGGGGGCAUUAGUAUUUAAUUGUCAGAGGUGAAAUUCUUGGAUUUAUUAAAGACUAACUUAUGCGAAAGCAUUUGCCAAGGAUGUUUUCA